rnacentral:rRNA from 1 species
GAACGCGAAGAACCUUACCUGGUCUUGACAUAUCUAGAAUCCUGCAGAGAUGCGGGAGUGCCUUCGGGAAUUAGAAUACAGGUGCUGCAUGGCUGUCGUCAGCUCGUGUCGUGAGAUGUUGGGUUAAGUCCCGCAACGAGCGCAACCCUUGUCCUUAGUUACCAGCGGGUUAAGCCGGGAACUCUAAGGAUACUGCCAGUGACAAACUGGAGGAAGGCGGGGACGACGUCAAGUCAUCAUGGCCCUUACGACCAGGGCUACACACGUGCUACAAUGGUAGGUACAGAGGGCAGCUACACAGCGAUGUGAUGCGAAUCUCAAAAAGCCUAUCGUAGUCCAGAUUGGAGUCUGCAACUCGACUCCAUGAAGUAGGAAUCGCUAGUAAUCGCGGAUCAGAAUGCCGCGGUGAAUACGUUCCCGGGUCUUGUACACACC